UCUGGGGUUUCUGGAACCAGAAAAUCAAUGAAGGCCAACAGUAACAAAAACAACAACAUUUUCAUCCGCAUGUUGGGUUUUCUUUUCCAUUAGGACGUUGUGUAUCCAGCUGAGCAACCCUCACAAUGGCAACAGUUUGAAGGAAAACCAACCUAAUUUUACAAUGAGAUUUUCCAGCAAAAAGACAAGAUGGGGGAGAUGUGUAUACCAUGCUGUGUGGGACUGAAAAUUAUCUAAUAAUCAUAAGCCGAUAUCAAAACAGUUGCAACAAAGGAUGGUAUCACUGGGGAAAACAUUCUGUUUCACAAGAUGUAGGGAAUGAUUGCGUAAAGGUGUCUCCCAAUUUCUCUUCUCUAUGACAGCAUAUAAAAGUGCUCGUAACUCAGGUGUCUUUAGCUGCCUCUGCUGACUUAUUCCUCUUGGUGACUGGGUUGACUCGCCUUCCGGAAAGAUGUCCUCCUAUGGGCAGAUGAUUAGCUUCCGCUGUGGUCAACCGUGCGAGGUGUCAUGUCCACAACCGUAUACCGACUCUCGGAACGAGCCAUGCGUCGCCACAUGCGGAGAUUCAAGAGCAAUUGUGUACGCGCCACCCGUUGUUGUGACUUUCCCGGGACCCAUGAUCGCCACAUGUCCUCAGGAAAGCAUCGUGGGAACAGCCAUGCCUGAAAUUGAGGGUGGAGGCAUGGGCUCCGGAGGUGGAGGCAUGGGCUCCGGAGGUGGAGGCAUGGGCUCCGGAGGUGGAGGCAUGGGCUCCGGAGGUGGAGGCAUGGGCUCCGGAGGUGGAAGCAUGGGUGGAGGCUGCUCCUAUGGUGGAGGCAGCUCCUAUGGUGGAGGCGGAUCCAGCGGGAUAGGCUCCCAUAGCUCUGGGGGCUCUUAUGGUGGAAUGGGAGGUGGUUCAUACGGUGGGGAGGGGUCGUGUGGUGGUGGAUUCUCUCGUUUGGGAGGAUUUUACCGAAGCUCAUUUUAUUCAGGAUUUGGUAGAAAUUAUUUCCCAUUUUAUUCUAGGUACUAUAGGUACCGCUAUGGAAACUGUGGGCCAUUUUAAGUCUUUAAGACAAUGUCAUGACUGAAGAAAUGAUAAGAUACAAACCAAUGGUUGACAUAUAGGGCUAGAAAUCAAAUGUGUCAAGCAGCCUCUGCUCCAGCUGAUGUCAGCAGGAGCUGGGGUUGCUUUGCAUCUCUCUGCGCUAUGUUUUGUCUAAGGCUUAAAAUCCCAAUGUUGCCUCACUUUGUCAUUUGCUCAUGUUAUGUUUUGAUCUUUCUGUACCUGGAGAGGGUAAAACAAUUAAUGGGACUUGACUGUGGAAGCUUCUGGCUGAAAGAACACCUUACGAGCCCUGUGUUCUUCUAAACACCUGAUUGUUUGUAGUCCUUGUUGAAAUGGAAAUUACAUUCUUUGUCUCUGUGUUGCCUCAUUCUACAAGAAUGUAUUCCACAUCUUGUUUGUAUUAAA